GUGCUCACUUCAACAGCAAAUAUACUAAAAUUGGAAUGAUACAUAGAAGGUUAGCAUGAACACUGUGAAAGGAUGGCAUGCAAAUUUGUGAAGUGUUCCAUAUUUUU